rnacentral:rRNA from 1 species
AGCAGCCGCGGUAAUUCCAGCUCCAAUAGCGUAUAUUAAAGUUGUUGCAGUUAAAAAGCUCGUAGUUGAAUUUCGGGAUCAAUACGUCGGUCGUGCUUCGGUACGUACUGGCGUAAUUGAUUUCUCCCUUCUGACGAACCAUGAUGUCAUUAACUUGGUGUCAUGGGAAAUCAGGACUGUUACUUUGAAAAAAUUAGAGUGUUUAAAGCAAGCUAACGCUUGAAUACAUUAGCAUGGAAUAAUGAAAUAGGACGUUCGAUCCUAUUUUGUUGGUUUCUAGGAUUGACGUAAUGAUUAAUAGGGAUAGUUGGGGGCAUUAGUAUUCAAUUGUCAGAGGUGAAAUUCUUGGAUUUAUUGAAGACUAACUACUGCGAAAGCAUUUGCCAAGGAUGUUUUCAUUAAUCAAGAACGAAAGUUAGGGGAUCGAAGACGAUCAGAUACCGUCGUAGU